CCUACGGGAGGCAGCAGUGAGGAAUAUUGGUCAAUGGACGUAAGUCUGAACCAGCCAAGUCGCGUGAAGGAUGACUGUUCUAUGGGUCGUAAACUUCUUUUAUAAGGGAAUAAAGUGUGGGACGUGUCCCAUUUUGUAUGUACCUUAUGAAUAAGGAUCGGCUAACUCCGUGCCAGCAGCCGCGGUAAUACGGAGGAUCCGAGCGUUAUCCGGAUUUAUUGGGUUUAAAGGGUGCGUAGGCGGGCUUUUAAGUCAGGGGUGAAAGUUUGCGGUUCAACCGUAAAAUUGCGGUUGAUACUGGCGGGCUUGAGUAUGGUUGAGGUAGGCGGAAUGCGUGGUGUAGCGGUGAAAUGCUUAGAUAUCACGAAGAACCCCGAUUGCGAAGGCAGCCUGCCAAGCUAUGACUGACGCUGAUGCACGAAAGCGUGGGGAUCAAACAGGAUUAGAUACCCUUGUAGUC
rnacentral:rRNA from 1 species